CCCCCUCUUUGCCAGUUUAAAGCCAUUCCCCUUCUAUCACUGCAGGCCCUUCCUGGAUCACUCCCCCCCCAAAGCUGCAUCAGGGCUGUGACAUCAUCUCACUCCAGCACCCACAACCUCAGGGAUGGACUUCACCACAUCCAACAACAUUCAGGCUGAUGUCUUGGAACACAUGGGAUUGACAGCUCCUUGUGUUCUUCUUCUACAGCACAACUGUUUCUCUUGCUCAGAAACCAUCUCUGGGAAGAGCAACAAUUUACCCAGCAGAGAGUGAAGGUCUAAGAUUCCCAAAGCAUCCUAAGACAUCUGCUCUGUAUUGGUUUGCAGAGCUGCUCGAGAAACACGAGCUCUGCAGCAAGAAAACAGAUUCUAUUUCAUGGCCAGAGUUCUGGGAGGAAAGAAAAAGAGGAUUAAAGAAAACAGUUAAAAUACA